GCAUAUCAAUAAGCGGAGGAAAAGAAACUAACAAGGAUUCCCCCUAGUAACUGCGAGUGAAGCGGGAUGAGCUCAAAUUUAAAAUCUGGCGUCUUCGGCGUCCGAGUUUGUAAUUUAGAGAAGCGUUUUCCGCGCCGGACCGUGUACAAGUCUCCUGGAACGGAGCGUCAUAGAGGGUGAGAAUCCCGUCUUUGACACGGACAACCGGUGCUCUGUGAUACGCUCUCGAAGAGUCGAGUUGUUUGGGAAUGCAGCUCAAAAUGGGUGGUGAACUCCAUCUAAAGCUAAAUAUUGGCGAGAGACCGAUAGCGAACAAGUACCGUGAGGGAAAGAUGAAAAGCACUUUGGAAAGAGAGUGAAAUAGUACGUGAAAUUGUUGAAAGGGAAACGCUUGAAGUCAGUCGCGUCCGCCGGGAUUCAGCCUUACGGUGUACUUUCCGGUGGACGGGCCAGCAUCACUUUCAAUCAUUGGAAAAGGGCGAAGGGAAUGUGGCACCUCCGGGUGUGUUAUAGCCCUUUGUCGUAUACAGUGACUGGGAGUGAGGACCGCCUUUGUAGGAUGCUGGCGUAAUGGCUUUAAACGACCCGUCUUGAAACACGGACCAAGGAGUCUAACAUGCCCGCGAGUGUUCGGGUGGAAAACCCGUGCGCGUAAUGAAAGUGAAAGUUGGGAAGGCUAUCGUGGCCUGCACCGACGCCCGGACUUGAGAUUUAUCGAAGGUUCUGCGGUAGAGCGUGUAUGUUGGGACCCGAAAGAUGGUGAACUAUGCCUGAAUAGGGUGAAGCCAGAGGAAACUCUGGUGGAGGCUCGUAGCGAUUUCUGACGUGCAAAUCGAUCGUCAAAUUUGGGUAUAGGGGGCGAAAGACUAAUCGAACCAUCUAGUAGCUGGAUCCUGCCGAG
rnacentral:rRNA from 1 species